AGACUGGAAGCAGAGCCUGGCGUCUUCACCAUUAUGGCCUGGGUUCCUCUCACCCUCACUCUCCUUGCUCACAUCACAGGUUCUUGGGCAGAAGUUGUAUUUACUCAGCCCAAAUCAGUGUCAGGGAAUCCAGGUCAGAAGGUGACCAUCUCCUGCACCCGCAGCAGUGGCAACAUUGCGGACAACUAUGUGUACUGGUUCCAGCAACACCCAGGCAAAGCCCCCAGAAUGCUGAUUUACAAAUAUGAUCAAAGACCCUCUGGGAUUCCUGAUCGGUUUUCUGGCUCCAAAGACAUCUCCUCCAAUGCUGGCCACCUAACCAUCUCUGGGCUGCAGCCUGAGGAUGAGGCUGACUACUACUGUCUUUCUGGUUAUGAUAGCUAUUAG